CCAAAAUGGACUCCAGAAAAAGAAAGCAGAGGCAAGAGGAGUCAGAUUCUGAUUCAGAAUCUGAAUCUGAACCAAGUGAUGAGAGCGAAGAAUCAUCACCUGCAGAGAAGGAGAAGAAAAAGAAAAAAACAAAAACAACACCAAAAAAAACACAACCAAAAAAGAAAAAAGUUGUUGUGGAGGAUUCACCUCCUAAAGAAGAUCAAUACUUUGACGGGUACAGUACCUCGUAAG